rnacentral:tRNA from 10 species
CGCGGGGUGGAGCAGUUCGGUAGCUCGCUGGGCUCAUAACCCAGAGGUCGCAGGUUCGAAUCCUGUCCCCGCUACCA